UGUUUGAUGUUCUAACGUGGACCCGUGAUCCGGGUUGCGGACAGUGUCUGGUGGGUAGUUUGACUGGGGCGGUCUCCUCCUAAAGAGUAACGGAGGAGCACGAAGGUUGGCUAAUCCUGGUCGGACAUCAGGAGGUUAGUGCAAUGGCAUAAGCCAGCUUGACUGCGAGCGUGACGGCGCGAGCAGGUGCGAAAGCAGGUCAUAGUGAUCCGGUGGUUCUGAAUGGAAGGGCCAUCGCUCAACGGAUAAAAGGUACUCCGGGGAUAACAGGCUGAUACCGCCCAAGAGUUCAUAUCGACGGCGGUGUUUGGCACCUCGAUGUCGGCUCAUCACAUCCUGGGGCUGAAGUAGGUCCCAAGGGUAUGGCUGUUCGCCAUUUAAAGUGGUACGCGAGCUGGGUUUAGAACGUCGUGAG
rnacentral:rRNA from 1 species